rnacentral:lncRNA from 1 species
GACCUCAUAAGGGAGGUCCCCAUGGGUAAUGCUGCCCUGCAGAAACGAUGUGUUUGCAUACCUGUUUUGAGCAGGAACUGAAGAAAGAGGCUGUAUGCCAAUGGCUUUGCUGGAUUGGUCUAGAAUUGCUGAGACAUGAGCUCUGCACAUGAUCUUCAAGUGCUGCCGAUGUGUACAUCAAUGAAAUAUCCAGAAGGCUGGUAAUGGUAACUGAAGAGUCUCCUGACUGACCUCCAGAAUUUCCCUGGAAAGGAUCUUCAUCUGUCAGGGGUGCUGUGGAAGGAUUCUUCAUGACCUAGAAUGUCACUUCCAAGUCCAAGAUAAGUGUUUUUUUAUUAUUCCAUUCUACAGAGCGGAGACCUAUGGUAUGUAAUUAAAAUAGCUUGUUGUUUUAUUUGAUUAUAAAUAUAAUACAUGGUCAGCAUAGAACACAGAGAAAAGUGUUCAUAAAAAUAAGCAGUAUUUUAUUAAGAUGACCACUAUCUCUGAAGGAUAAAUAGCUAAAAUUUGUGAAUGAAAUAAGACAAAUCUCAGAGUUCUUUGUCCCCAGGAUUUUGGUGCUCUGUUUGACCAUCUGCAUGGGGAUGGACAGGGAUAAUCUUUCCAUGAACAAAUGCAAGGCAGGCAAGCAAAGGCGUGGCAGAUAUAAAACAGGAGACAACCAAAAACCCUCUUCUUUUUGAUUUUUACAUGCAUUUUCAUACUUCCAUUUGAGCAGAGACUCGUCUGGUAUAUUUGAAAAUUCACUUCAAAGGAAAUAAUAAAAUCUUGGUGCAAGAGAAAUUGAAGUGCUUUCCAAUUUCCCAACUUCAAUAAAAUGCUCCCUAGUGUUACUCUGAAAGUCACUCUGGAUGGGAAAUUGACAGCAAUGGUUCAUUUCCAAGGUGGUGACGGAGGGGACAGUGAGGGUGGCACUGAGCUAGGGCCAAUAUAGCACCGGGACUGGGAGAACCUGGUCUCUCAGCAGUGAGUGCCAAGAUUCCAAAGCUCUCUGUGCAAAGAUCAUGGCUAAUUGUGGCUAAGAGGCAGUUUUGGAGUAUCUGAGCAGAGGGUGUGUGGCAUCUGAAGCUUCUGGCAGCAUCAUACUUCCCUUUGGAGGGCUGUCGAAAUCAUAGACCCAGGAGAGCCACUCAGAUGGAGACAAUGGGUGUUUUUUGACUCUCUGAGCAGUUAAAUGGGUCCAGAUUAUUCAUGUGACUCAGUGCAGAGAAGAGCACCAAGACCGGUCAGGAGCAGCAUCACCCUCCUUCUGGCGCUGGCAUGUAUUCUCAUUAACCUCCCAUGAACCCAUUGUCCUGGACAUCUCUUAACUCCUUCUCCCCAAAUCUCUAAGCCCUUAGGUCAUUCUUUGGCUCCUGAUACCCACCUCAGGCUUCCUUUGCUUUCGUGAUAGUCUGGAUUUCUCAGAUGGCAGGGUAUUCGUCUGGCCAGCCUGACUCUUUUCUGGCAAACACUUUUGGCUCCACAUCUCCAUUCACCCUGACCCUGUGCGACCCUUCCAGGAAAGUGAAUUCCGAUAAAGGACAGCAGUCAGGGUCUAAUCCUAUGUUGGUCGGAUGGAAAAGUUUUAUUGGAGCUAGGAAAAAAGGACAAGACCCACACAGUUCACUAGAUCGGGCUCAGAGGUGAGAGCUAUGUCCACUGGGGAAAUAAAAGGUAAGUCAGAUUCAGGGUGAAAAGAGAGCCAGACAAAUGCUCCAGACACAGACCAUGCUUGGUAUGUUUCAGAAUGAGUCUCACUCAUGUGUCACAGUCCUCAUUUUCAAGAUGCAGGUUGAGAGGCUGGUCUAAUGUCCCCAAAGCUGGAAGUUGCAGACCUGGAACGUGGGCCCAGGCAUUAUCAUUAUCCUUGUUACACAGAAGAGAGACCUGAGGUCCAUAAGUUGGAAAAGGUUGCUCCCCAGAAAGAAGCAGGAGGAAGGUGGAAUGGGUGCCAAAAGACCAGAAGCUAACCAUUGUCCACUGCAAUGCAGCAUCUAUAGCCACCCUGCUUCCCUUAUGCGUAUUCUCCAAACACCUUCACUUCACAUAAUUCAAUGUUCUGGGUACAACUGACAACACUCUCACUUCUUUACCAAAAAGGAGCAUAUGACACUCCUGUCAAUCACGCCUGCAGCUCCACGUCCAGAAUCUCUGCUUGGUGUUUCCUUCACCGCCACUUCUGUGUGAGCCCAUCUAGAUAUUCGACAGUCUGUGAGGCAGAUGGUUAAUUUAACUAUCACCCUCCCAGCCUACACACUACGUGAGGCAAAAAGAGGAGGAAAGUGGAGGGAAAUUAAUAAGAUACAACAAUGCAGUUUGAGAUUGGCCACGCGCCUUGUUUAUAUCCAUUUGACCCUCUCUAUCUCCACUUGUAUGCCUGUGUGCCACUUUUAUGUCUAAAGUGAGUCUUGACCUCCCCCUAAAACCUGUGCAGUCUUCCCACCUCUGGGCCUAGGCCAGAAACCUUGGGGACCCCCUUGACCCCUCUCUUUUUCAUAUUAUGUCAAAGCUAUCAGCAGGUCUCAUCGGUUUCACUUUCAAAGUCCAUCUAGAAUCCAAACACUCUGCACCUUUUCUGUGAAAACCCUGAUGCAAACACAUCAACUUUUGCUAAGAUUGUUGUCAUGACCUCCUACCUCCUCUGCCUGCUCCUAGUCUUGCCUACUAUAGUCUAUUCUCAACACAGCAGCUAGAGCAAACUGUGAAAAGGUUGUCAGAUCAUUAAACAGCAUCCUGCCCUAACCCCCAGUGGCCUCCAGUACUCUGCAGCUGGAAACUAAAUUCCUCAUCAUGCCUGCAGGGUAUGCCUGAUCAGGUGCCUGUGACUCCCUGAUGGUGACCCCAGCCCUCUCGCUUACUCUACUCCAGCAGCCCUGGCCUCUUCACACGCCUGGCUUGUCCCCACCACACCAUGUGUGCGUACAUUAUCCCUUCUACUUGGAGAUAUCCAUGGGGCUUGCUCCCUGGCAAAUGCUUCUUGUCCUUAUUCAAAUGCCAGCUUCUCAAAGAGGCCUGCUCUGACCACAUAGUUUAAACCCUCUUCCAAGCCCAAAUUCUCUUUCUCUGCCUUUAUUUCCCCCCAUAUUUCUUAUUGUCUUCAGCAUAAUAUGUUUUACUUUUAUAUGGUUUAUUAUCUGCAUAAGCUCCACGAAGAAAAGGAAUUUUGCCUGUUCUAUUCAUCACUCGCCCCUUGGACCAGACAGUGCUUGGCACAUAGGAGGUGCUCAAUAAAUAUUUGUUGAAUGAAUGAAUGAACGAAUGAAUGGAUGUGUGCUUGAAUUGCUUACAGGGCCGUAGCUGGUAUUCCACCAGUCUGUAAUGCUUCCCUCUUCCAGUGCCCAUUCUACUUUCUCUCACCUUUUCCCAGCACUUCAGCCAAUGGAGAGCUCUCGGGAAGGUUAGCGUGACCUGAAUCUGGUGUACCUGCCUGUGCAGAGCUGCUGCCGUCUUCCAUUACCUUUAUUGCAGGGGAACAAAGGAGGAUUGGAGUGUCCUUCUUGCAUUGGCUCUUUCUUAAGUAACUUUAAUUCAACAUAUCCAAUAUGCUAAAGUGGCAUAUUUUGGGACAGCCUAGCCUGAACCCUGUCAAAACCAUCACCUCAAUCAAGAUUAGCCCUGAGCUAACAUCCGUGCCCAUCUUCCUCUACUUUAUAUGUGGCACGCCUACCACAGCAUGGCUUGCCAUGCAGUGCCAUGUAUGCACCUGGGAUCUGAACCAGCGAAUUCCGGGCGCCGAAGCAGAAUGUGUGAACUUAACCGCUGUGCCACCAGGCCGGGCCAACAGUAUUUCUUUAUCAAAGGACAUAACACAAGGCUUGUCACAAAACUAGAUCUCAAUUAUGUUUCAAGAAAGGAAAGAGAGAAUUACACAUAUAUCCUGUGGGCAACAUGAUUAAAAAUAUUUUUAGGAUAAAUUAAUCCAUGAAAUUGACGAGAAUGCUCAUAGAAAUGUAGAUUAUGCAAUAACAUUAGACAUGUUGGAAAUAGAGGACAAUCCUAAAUCCAAUUCUCAAUGCAAACAUUUGUUUCUUUUAAUCUAUAUCUAACUAAGCUGAGUAAGCUCCCUGCUCUCUAACCACAUGCAUUCACAGUGUUUGUUGACAAUGGGCCAAAAGGUAUCACACUGAAUUCACAUGAUUGAAAGGACAGAUUUGUUAACUCAGCAUCUCAAGACACUGCCAAGUACUCUCACAUCAAUUUGCAAAGCCGCCAUUCCAGUUAGAGGUGUCAUCUUGAGGAGCUGCACUUGAAGCUCCAGAAUUGCUUAAAACAAAACAAACACAGAGGUUUAAAUGUCAUAGGUUGAAAAGUCAAAUAGACCUUUGCUGGCGAAGAAAGAUUUUCUAUUCCCAAGCCCAGUGAAUGUGGUCAGGGUUGGCCUUUGAGUUGCAUAAUUAAGGAUAGAAACUGGCUUCAGAGUUCUUAUGAGAGAGGUCCUAUGAGAGUUCCUAUGGUUGGACAGUCUUGGCCAAAGAAAUUAAAAUCAAGUCCUCUGUUUUGCAGCCAUGGAAUGGUAAGUGCUCUAGAUCUGAGACUGGCCAGGUCUUCCCAGAGUAAGUCUGCGGACUGGCCAGCACACCAGAGCUGGAACAUGCAGUUCAGGGCAUCCAUAUGCCAGCUGCUGCCUGGAGUGUGGGGAAGUGGCAUUUGAAUGAGCAGGAGAUCACCACUGACUUGAGCAGGCAAUGUUUCCUCGUGGCUUUCCUGGAACUUCUGCUGACAUAACGUUUGUUCAGUCUUGGUAUGAGACAUGCCAGGACUUUGGAUGGUAACCAAAGGAGAGGAAAUUGGUGUUGAAAUGAGUCAGAUAUUAAAGGGCCUUUAGGAAUUAAUCAGUCUUAAUAAUUGAUCUACAAACAGGCAGGGAAUACCUGGACUGGGCAUUGAUUUCCAGCUUCUUUGUUAUCAAUGAAAAGUUUGGAAUGAGGAUCGACACAAAGUGCAGGCUGGUGGGUGCGCCUUGGUCCUUGGGCUGAGGAAGUGUAUCUCGUGUAGUGGGGGAUUCCGGUUUUUUACAAAGCAGCACCUCUAAGAAGACAAGGAUGAUUGUAAUACUAUAUCGAUUUUACAGAAUGUGUAACUGAGACCCAGAGAGGCUAAUUGUUCUUGCCAAACACCAUUCAUGCCUUCACUCAUCCAGUGAAUACUGAGUAAGGGUCCACCAUUGCCAAUCCCUGUGCAGUCUUUGGAGAUCCAGUGGAGAACAGGACAGAACGGAUCCCUGCAUUCAUUAAGUGCACAUACCUGGUUACCAAAGAUCCUAUGUAAUUAUAACCCUGAUAAAAUGCUCUGAAGGAAAAGAACAACAAGCUGGGAGGGUGUAAAACAGGGGACUCCAACUGGUCUUGGAGAGGUGGGCAGAGGUAGUGAGCUCCUCUUGGAGGUAAUAGCCUUCCUAGGGGGAAGAAACAGUUAAGCUGAGAUCAGAUGAGUAGGCAUUCUCAAGAAGAACAGAAGUGGGGCAGGUUUUGAAGAGAAUCCCAGGCAGAAGGAACAGCAUGUGCCACGGCCUUGAGGGGAGAGAACUCAGAGCAUCUAAAGAAUGGAAGGCUGGUGUGGCUGCUUGGAUGGUUGAUGAUGGGGUGAUGGGGUUGAGGGUGGGGAUAAAGAGAGAGGUCUCAGCCAGACCCCACAAGAGCAGGGAGGCCGUAUUGAGAAUUUUCCUGUUGAUCUUCCAAGCAAUGGGAAGUCAUUAAAGAACUUCAAGAAGGGGAUGACAUUACCUGAUUUGUGUUUGUAAAAGCUCACUCUGGCUGCAGCCUGGAGAAUGGAUGAUGGGGGCUGGAGGAGAUUCCUAUGGACCAGUUGGGAGGCGAUUGCAAUGGUUCUGUUGAGAGAUGUUUGCAGCUUGGAUUAGGGUGGAGGCAGGAGAGAUGGAUGAAAGUGGAUAUCUUGCAAAUAUAUUAUGGAGCAGGUAAGUAGGGGAGGACUUAAGGGAAAAAUAAAGAGACAAAGGAUGAAAAGGAAUGGACAUCCAAGAAAAUAAGAGCUAGUCUUUAGUCUUCUGCUUACAACUCCAGUGUUCAGGAGUAAAUGGUUGUAAGCAGGAUUCAAGACGCAAGAGAGAUGAGCAGAUCCUGACAUAUCAAUCAUGUGACUGUCACCUCCCUGUGGCCUAUCCUGUCACUCUCAUAGCUGCUGCCAUGGAGACUGGUAAACAGGGGGCUGUGCUCUGAGGACAGCAGUGGGAAGGGACCAGCUGGAGAGAGAGCCAGGAGCAGAAUGGAUCUGGUUGGAGGAUGCAGCUGCCAGUCAACAUCCCUCCUGAGCAGUAGAGCUUCAUUUCAAGUCACUCUGUUACGGACCAACAAAAUUUCCAUUCCCCAAGCCACUGUGAACAAGCGAUGCUCCCCUGAGGGGAGAAGGAGAGUGGCAGAGCAGGGAUGAUGUGCAGCCCCCCUCACAUCCUGGGAGCAGUGUCCUCCCCAUUUUCCUAUGCUCAGACGCCUCAGUUUAUCAAAUUAAAAUAUAGAGAAUCAUUUCCUUUGCUCCAACCAAAACAACUAUAGAAAUCACUGUCAUCAUCAUUUUGAGUCAAGCAUACCUAUCAUAAUCUCAUUUUUGGAAAGUUAACAAAAACACAUACAUGCAUUUAUUUAGCACUCACACUUUUCUGGGAUGCUAUUUAUUAAAUCUCUCCAACAAUGUGAGAAAUGGCACUUUGCAGAUAAGAACACUGAGACUAAGGAGGUUUACAUCAUCUGCCUCAAAGUCAUUUAACAAAUAAAUUGGCAGAGCUAAGCCGUACACCCAGGUCUCCUAAAUCUAGCAAGUUUAAUAGUUAGCUCUCCUCUGGACCUAAAAACUUUGAGUUUCAGAACUGUACCCCUGUGAUUGCAGCAUCCAGGGGGGAGGUUCUGAGCUGGGGCAGGGCCGGGGAGCUUGGUGUGUGCCUGGUGCUCAUGGCCUCUAGCUCUUACCCUCUUACACUACCAAGAACUAGCGUCUGGAAAGGGUCCUCCUUCUUCUCUAUGAACUGGCGGGAAAGCACCUCCACCUCCUCCACCCAACACACACUAGCACACACGCUGGGAGGAAGAUAUGAGACAUUUCCUCACUGUGUCAUUGCACAGGAAAAGGGUUCUCUGAGGUGUUAAUAUAUUCUGUCCAACUGGAGCUCUAAUGAGCCCCGCAGGGGAGACUGUGUGCUGGUCCAGGCUCAGCAGUUCCUUCUCACGGGGUCUUCUGAUGCUUCAGCUUUUCAGGAGUCCCUGAGGUCCUAGAAGAGCCCAGGCUGCUUCCCAGAGACAGGGUGGGACUUCUGGACUCAACAUCCAUUUGUCUAUGCAGGCAAAGAGGAAUUGCAAGGUAUUGCGGUCAGUUCUCCAUUACUCUGACCGAGGUGAAUAAAUAUCUUCAAGAACAUUUGCUACAGGCAGUGGCUGCCUGAAAAACAAUGCUCAAGUCAUUGCUCUUUGCACCUGCAGCCCUUGGUCCCAUUGAGCUGUGCAGGCUCCAGAGCUGUUGUGUCUGCUUGGGGUCUCUGGAACCUUAGAGCCUGCCUCACCUUCCCCAGUUUGCUCUGUCCUGUGGGGCCUGGCCUGCAGACUGCAUUUCCCUGACUUUCUCUGGGUUCAGACAAUGGAGGAAUCGGUGAGAAACUGAAGGCAGUAAAUUGGAAGAAGCCAGAGUUCUUUUCUGCUUCCACCCCACCUCCAGCAGCAUCACUAGCGUCAGCCGUGUCUCCCUCAAGGCACUCCUCCCCUUCUCUGUCUCUGUGUCUCUCUCGUCUCUGUUUCUCUGUCUCUAAUUCUUUCCCCUUCUCUUUUUUUCUCUCUCAUCUCCUUCCUUUGCGUCUGUGGAAAACCUAGCUGUUUGACCACAAGGCCAUUAACAAAGCACUGCCACUUGAUAAGGGACUUAUCAGCUACUGAUUUGGAAAGUGAGCACAUGCCUAUUUUUGGAAGAUACCCUAGAAAUCACGGUGCUCCUCAACACUCUGUCCCAUCUUGAGGAUGAUGCUGGCCUGGGCUGGGCCUUCUCAGGCAUGCUGGAUCUCAGGGGUUAAUAACAAUGUGGAGUACUUAGGGCGUUUGGUAACACAAUGGUCCAUUUCAUAAACUUGGGACACCUGCUAUUCCAACGUAACAUUUGGCUGUGACCUGACCACACAUUUUGAACUAUUGGCUUAUCCUCUGAACCUUGAAAUUCCUGCGGAUUCCAGAUUUGACCCGUAAGUAUUCUCAGGAAAUGGUAGUUUUGUUGUUUGUUUGUCUGUUUUCCUUUUAGGACCCAACACUUGUAGACCAAGGUUAUUCUUCGAUAAUAUAGACGAUGGUGUGAGACUCGCCUGAAACGCGGGUGCAUGACAGGGGGUUCUUCACAAAGAAGCCACUCGUUAGCAUCGAAAGAAGCCACUGGAAAUCCAUGGGCAACAUUUAAAACCUGUGGGAAAAAAUAUAGUAUUUACCCUUGAAAAAUCUCCAGUUCUGAAGAGUGGGCUUUCACAUCCAAUGUGGGACUGGGAACUCCAUGUUCUCCCUUGCCGCGCUCCUCCUGUGCACCAGUCGACAUGCUGGGGGCUGGGCAUCUAAAGGUUUCUGAGGUUCAGUUGCUCCUCAGCAGGAAGAAAGGGCAUGAAAGGGCAAUGAAAAUGAAUGUGAAAUGCACUUUGGCUGAAUCAUUAACUUCCAUUUAGCAAGUCAGAGAAGGCUUCAUCCAUCAAAGGGAGUAAAAUGUGAGAUGGAUCUGGCCCAUGGCAGGUAUUUGGCCAUGUUUGUUGAUUAAAUGCAUGAGUACAUGAAUGCCAGAGUACUUUUUUCUUCCUUUGGUGAGGAAGAUUGGUCCUGAGCUAACAUCUGUGCCAAUCUUCCUCUAUAGUGUAUGUGGGAUGCCACCACAGCAUGGCUUCACGAGCUGUAUGUAGGUUCACGCCCAGAAUCUGAACCUAUGAACCCCAGGCUGCCAAAGCAGAGAGUAUGAACUUAACCACUACACCACCAGGCUGGCCCCCAAGUAGAUUUUUAUCAACUUGAAAAACCGAGAUCAGCCAGCAGAAAGAGCAUAUUCAAAUGCAUCAGAAGAGAACAUACGUUUUUCUAAACCAGAACAUCAGCAUGUCCUUUUGUAAUCAUUUUUCUGGCUGUUUCUGAAUUGGAAUGUGCAGUCCUGGAACUUAUAGGCUUCAAGCAGAGGCCUAGAGGAUCAGAAACAAGGAGCUGAUUUGAAAAUAAAGGUUAUGAAAAAUGGAAAGGAAAGUUCACGUGUGGAUACAGCAAGAAGGCAGCUGUCUACAAGCCAGGAAGAGAGCUCUCACUGGGAAGUGAAUCUGCUAGCAUCUUGAUCUUGGACUUCCAGCCUCCAGAACUAUGAGAAAUAAAUUUCUGUUGUUUAAGCUUCCCA